AUGGUGCCGCCACCGAUUGGGUAUAGUUCUACAAUGAUAAAUACAGCAAUGCAACAUGCAGCCACAGUCCAGUGGUCUGCCCCGCCGGCCGGUCGCGUGAAGCUCAAUGUUGACGGGUCGUUCGUUCAUACCGAUGGUGGAUUAGCAGGAGGCGGUAUGAUCUUACGUGAUAAUGACGGCAACAUUAUCUUCUCUGCUUGUCGUUCUAUCUUGCAUUGUUCCGGACCGCUCCAGGCUGAGCUGUUGGCAUGUCAGGAGGGAUUAAGCCUUGCUCUACAAUGGUCUACUCGCCCGAUAGACAUCGAGAUGGACUGCAUGGAUGCGAUCAAAUUGAUCAAGUCGCCUACCCUUGACAGAUCGCCACAUAGAAUGAUAGUUCAGGAUAUUAAGAUGCUCUUUGGUGAAAGGGAUAUCUCUAUUGCUCAUGUAAGUAGGAAUCAGAACGUUGUUAGCCACACACUUGCUGUUUUCGGACGAUCGGAGGGCCGAACUACAGUUUGGUUGCGCUCUGGACCUGCAGACGUUCCUCUGCUAUGUAGGAACGAAUAUUCCAACAGUUGA
rnacentral:rRNA from 1 species